GACGGAGGGUGCUAGCGUUGUUCGGAAUCACUGGGCGUAAAGGGCGCGUAGGCGGCCAAGUAAGUUAGAGGUGAAAGCCUGGGGCUUAACCUCAGAAUUGCCUUUAAUACUGCUUGGCUGGAGUUUGGUAGGGGAUAGUGGAAUUCCUAAUGUAGAGGUGAAAUUCGUAGAUAUUAGGAGGAACACCAGUGGCGAAGGCGACUGUCUGGGCCAAUACUGACGCUGAGGCGCGAAAGCGUGGGGAGCAAACAGG
rnacentral:rRNA from 1 species